AGAGAUGACAUCACUCGGUGUUAAAGACGUAGCAUCUGAAAGCUGGUGUGCAACAAAAAAAAGAUAAAAACAGCUUUCUCCCCCACACUUCAGAGAAGCAGCCACAAUAUGAAAAGCACUUAGUGAAUAUGGGCUGCUCCGCCUGAAAUCAUCUUUAGGGCCGGUUCAAACAAGAUACUCAACAGAGGCAGAGCAGACGCGAGGACUGUUCUUCAGAGACAUGGGUCUUUCCCAGCUGCUCCAGGAGAUCUGCUCUGGCAGCGUUCUUCUUGUGCUUUUUGCCAUCAUAAUGUUGCUGAGCCAUGCCAGGGU